GUGUAGUUUAAAUAGGGAAUAAUACAUGGGUGAGCGGAAAUACCACAUUUAUUUCGAGUGUUGAACAUGAUAUCUCACAAGUGAGCGCAGAGAACGAGUGAGAUGUCAUGUCAAAACGAGAAAUAAAUCUGGUAUUUCCAAGCACCCAUGUAUUUUUCUGUUUAUUAUAUAA